UUAGGGACUUUUUUCGUAUGGCUCCUAUUCCUGUUGGGAAGUAACCUGUUACGAUCAAAACCCAGGUGGUCCUGACACCUCCCUGCCUUUAGGAGUUACAAACGUCCAGUGGGAUCAGACGCUGGGGCAGCCUUUCAGCUUGAGAAGGUUUAAUCUUUCUAUGAAACUUGCAGCUUUCUGGGGAGAAAAAUCCCGGGGAGGGGGACAUGCCAGGCCCAGCAGGGCAGCAGCUGAAGCGCUGGUCUUUCAACUGGAUGUGCCUUUGCAGAGGGACACGCAGUGUAACGCAUGCGGAUUAACUUCAGCAGCGUGCUACUUGCCUGGGAUGAGGAGAAUCAUUUUACUGAUUGUAAAUCCAACCAUACUGAAUCCAGAGUGAAUCGGAGAGACUCCACCUCAAAGCACAGUCUGAAAAAGUAGGCAUCCGUGAGACUGGAACUUGGGCAUCUGAUGGU